CAAUGUCAUGUGUUUGUUACAUAUCGAUUUCAUCAACGUCUUUCAAAAAAGAGAAACACAACAAUUGCUUAAAAAAACGUAGAUGUGAUCAAAGCAUGCAACGUCUUUGCAUCACAAAAUCUAGCCCCAACCAAUCAAAAAUACUCGUUGCAUCAACUCGAAUCUUCAUAAAAUUCUUCGUCAAAUUUAAAGAUGUUAUUUUCUUUAUUAUUGUUUCUCUUCUUCGAUCUGGAGCUGUCCGAGUCUUCUUCAUAAAAAGAAUACAUUUUUCUAGUUGGUGUAACCGGAGCACUUCCCAAAAAUUCUUUUAGUUCAUUGUUUGGUGUUGGCAUUCUCAAGUUAGGUUCCUUGUUAAGGUUUGAACAUCAUGCAUGUGCUGAAUUGACAAUAAAAAUCACAUCAUGCUUGAACCCUUCAUGCCCAUUAUUCUUCAACACAACCUUCACGUAAAACAACAUCUCUUCUUCAAUAGACAUGCACAUUGCUUGUGCAGUUCCAACUCAAUCUCUUGUAUAAAAGAGAAGAACUAUUCGAAAUGUGAAGAGAAAUUCAAUAACAUUAAGGUUUAUAAGAUAAUUGUUUGUGAAGCAAUGGUUACCUCCUUUUGCAAUAGUAUAACACUUUAAAAAAUGAUUUUUAUAGGUGGGUCGAUAAUAGUGGCAACCAAGAGGCCUAUGAAGUCUUACAGUUGUAUACAAUUUAAUUUCUGACCAUGCAUUACCAUAAGAAAGUACAUGAGCAUGAGCAAGAAUUAUUGAAUUCAUGAAAGGAUUCUUACUUUUUUUUCUUUUUAGGGUUUAAAUAACUUGUGCUCAAUACCUAAGAGUACCAUAGACCUACUUGGUUGCUUGCACUUGCAAAAUACACACUCGUACAUUUUCACAACUUUAUUAAAAUUGUUACACGAGAUAUACCAGUAUGGUUGUUCCUAAUAGGCUUUUGCUUUCACCCAAAAAUAGCUUUGCUGUAGAAGAUUCACAUUUGUUCAUGAAAUAAAAGCACUAGCUAACUGCAAAAGUAAUUGUGUUUCAAUCAUUAGAAAGAGAAUAUCAAUAGGGUAAUUGGCACAAAAUGUUCUUACAUUUCAAUUUUAUUGUGCAAAACGUCUCUAGCUUUUAUUUUUAGCAUUUCAGCUUUAUUUCCACCUUUCAUUAUCAAAAACGUCCUUCCAUCCACUUACUAUCCGUUGCUCCAUUUAACACUGUGAACAUUUCGUUGUAGUUUCUUCUUCAAAAAAAUCUCGAUUUUCUUCCAUUUGUACAAGCUUUCCUCACUUCUCAUCCCAUCUGCUCUAGUCUCGUCUUGUAGGUUUACAGUAGAACCAUGCAGCAAGGUUUUUUAGAGAGCGAAGGUAAGAAAAUUUUCGAGUUGGGUAUUUUUGUGUUUCCAUUUUGUAUGUUGGUGUUUUGGAUGAUUGAGAGUUUGUGUUGAGUUUUGAAGUUGUUUGUUGUUGUUAUACUGGCCUCCGAGGAGCAACAUGUUCUUCCAUUUUUUAGAAAUCAUGGUGACGAUCCACCCAUUUAUGGUGUAGUGGUCAUUCCCUAAAUUUCUUUGUGCAUUCAUCCAAUUCCACUGUAUAUUCACACAAUUUCAGUGUGCAAUCUCCCAAUUUAUGUCCAUUUCAAUGUGGUGCAUUCAGUGUUUCUUUGUCACUGUGCAUAUUUCACUUUGAUGUGAAUUCUGUCACUAUCCAUUUUAGUGUGCAUUAAAUGUUUCUCAAUUUACUUGCUACUUAAAAUCUAAGCCUGAAAAAACCCCAAUUUAUUGCUUAAAUUUGAUGUGAACUUUCUAUUAUUGCAUACAUGUGUUAAUUCUUCAUAUUUUACUAUUGAAAUACAUUAUGUAGGUUAAUUUUAUGAUAAGCCAAACAAUGUGGCAUACGAAGGGGGAUUCAUAUUUUUUGUCAAUUUUUUUAGAGAAAAAGGUGUACCAGAGAGAAUUUGAGUAAAUUCUUACGUGCAGUUUUAUUAUAAAAAGCAAAAAAUAAGUUUAGUGAAAGGGUUUAAGAGAUUGGAGAGUGAAGAGGAUAUUAAGGGAAUGCUUAGGAACAGGGAUGGGCAUCCAGAUGUGAAGAUAUAUGUCGUAACCCUGAUACAAUCAUAUGCAUUGCCGUUGCAUCCUUAAUCUUCACAAGUUGAUGAAAAACAAUCAUUUGAAAGUUGUUGUGUAUCAUUCGUUGAAGAAAAAAAAUGAAGGGAGCCUAAUGGUAAUUGGUCAGAUCAAUUUUUGCAAGUUGUGGUCACAGUUUAAGAAAACCUUACAGUACCAAGAUAAGGAAGAAAUAAAGGUGGGUGAUAUGAGUGCUGAAGAGGAUGAAGUUGUGGUUGAAUAUCAUAAUGAAGGACAAAGGAAGGGAGAGGAAGUAAAAGGUUUGGUAGAAUCCGAUUAUGAGAUAGAGCAAGAGCCUGUAACUACUGCUGAAGCUGGGGGUGAAAGGGUUAAUUUUGACUUUUGAUCUAGUAUAUCAGAUUAACAGCAAGUUAUCGAUUUGGAUACUGACUAUGAGGACUCAGAUGAUUUAUGAAGUAUUCAUGGUGAAGAAGAGGCUGAUAAAACUUUAAGAAGCAAGGCUUCCAAUGAUGCUUUCAAUAUGGUGACAGAUAUAGAUGAUCCAAUGUUUAGAAAAGGUAACUAAAAUAUAUUCUUUAAUUCAAUUUAAACAUAUUCUAUAUUUUAUUUUAAUGAGGUCUGAUAUUUAUCAAUUUUUUUAUAGUGCAGGCUAGGUAUUUAAGUCAAGGGCCAUAAUAAAAGCUGCAAUCAUUGCACAUUAAGAUAGAAACAAUAAAGAGAUUAAGUACAAAAAGGAUAACGCUCACAAAUUGAGAGCCAAGUAUAAGGGAGAUUGUCCAUGAGUGUCGUAGACUACCAAAGAGUAUAGUAAGACAAGUUUUGUGAUCAAAACUUUUAGAGAAUAGCAUAUUUAUCCUAUGGUGUAUAAGAACUUCAAAGUGACCUCAACCUAUUCGGCAUGUAGGUAUUUAUCUUAUUGGAGGGUUAAACCAAACAUGUCAGUUAGUACAUUCAUAGAGAGGGUUAAACGAGAUGGUUUGGGUGACAUCUCACCUUGAUAAAUGUAUAGAACAAAGGAUAAGGCACUUGAAAAAAUUAAAAGAAUUGUAAUGGAGCAUUACAAAGUAAUGUAGGAUUAUUUUGAUGAGUUGAAGUGGAUAAAUAUGGGGACCACUACUUUGGUUGAAAGGUAUGCUAGAGAAUUUAGACUGUUGUACAUUUGCCUUGGCGCAUUGAGAUAUGGUUUUCAUUAGAGGCUGCUAAAGGGUAAUUGGUGUUGAUGCUAAUAAUGGUACGUAUCCUGUAGCAUAUGCAGUUGUUGGAGUUGAGAAUGGGGAUAACUGGAGACAAUUGUUGGAACUCUUGAAGGAUGAUUUUCAUAUACACAAUAGCCAACAUUGGACAUUCAUUUUUGAUAAGCCAAAUGGGUUGAUUAAUGGAAUUGAAUCAAUGUUUGAGAAUUCAAAGCACAUAACAUAUGUUAAACAUCUAUACAAUAAUUUUAAUGUCUAUCACAAAGGUUUAGCUUUGAAAAAUUGUUUGUAGGAUACCAGAGCCACUACUGCAUCACAGUAGCUUCAACACAUGAAAUAAAAGUUAGACUUGGACUCAGCUGUUUAUAGAUGGCUUGAACCAAAACCAACAUCUCAUUGGAGCAAAUUCCCUUUAGAGAGUGGAAUCAGUGUGAUAUGUUUCUCAACAAUUUAUGUGAAUCAUUUAAUACAAUUGUUAAUGAAAGAGAGAAGCCCAUAUUAACCAUGCUAGAGGAGAUUUGGUAUAUUUGAUGAAGAGAUUGUCGCCCUUAUGGAGUCUUGUGAUUGGUGGACAACAACAAUAAGAUCUAGAAUUAAAAAGAUUCUGAACAAGAAUAGUAAGCUGGCAAGCAUAAAGUGGGCUGAAUAUGCAGGCAAUGAAAAGUUUCAAGUUCGAUACAAUGCAGGGACUGUACUACAUGCUGUGGAUUUAGGGACAAGAACUUGUACAUAUCUUGCUUGGCAAUUAUCAGGAAUUUUAUGUUGUUGUGUGAUUGUCUCAGUUGUAUCUAGAGGCCUUGAUAUGAUGGAAUUCGUAGAUGACAUCUACAAAAAUGAUACAUAUCUCAUGACAUAUACUCGAUCAAUUUUCUCCAUCACAAGUCCGAACUCAUGACCUAUCCCAGGUCUCAACCAUUUCAAUCCCUUACUGUAAACAAAGAGGGGUGGAAGGCCAAAGAAGAACAAAAGAAAAGAGCUAAAUGAGGUGACCUCUUCAAGUGAAGCGAAGAGAUCUAGAAAGUCUUCAUGUAAUGUCAGUUCUUUAGAGACAAAUUUAGGAGCUACAACAGGUUAAAGGAAAAGAUCGAUGCUAGUAAUAACAUUUAAGAAAUGUGGGGAACCAGGACACAAUAUAAGGACAUGCAAAUGGGUACCACCUCCAGUACCUAAUUAACAUUCUGCAGCUAUCUGUGAAGUUCUCUCCUAUAAAUUUUUGUUUUUGCUUAAUUAGUGAACAUAUAGUGCGAUGAAGUUAAUGGAUAAAACGUAUCACCUCAAGAACCUGUUUUCAAACCUUAAAGGAGUACAUAGCUAUUUUUUAUGUUUCUAGUGGAUAGAGUUUAGCACAUUCAAAACUUUUUUUUCUACAGAGUCGAUAUUUUUAGAUUAGAAAUGAAAAGUUACCUCUGAAUUGUUAUAAUUGUUGAGUUUUUUUUGUUUAGAUUUUGGUUGGUUGAUGUUUGAAUUGUUAUCUAAAUUAUGUCUGAGUUGUUGUAACCGAAUUGGUGUAUUUAGAGAGUUUAAAUUGUUGUGUAUAAACAGGUUGCACACAAAAGAAAACAGGGACAUUUGCACCAAGUAGUUUGAAAGGUGGAGAUGUGUUUCACAAAAAGUAUUAUUACGUACUAUUGCAGGGUUAAUUCUAUGCUAAAAAUAAAUGAACAAGACCAGUUCAUUUUCACCAUUGAGCCAAAUGGGUCACUCACCAUGAAAUCUAAUGGGUAUUUUACAAGAUCAAAUUUGUAAUUGUUCUUCUCAAUUUACUCCUUAGUUACAUCCUUAAUAAGUUCAAAAUGGAAAUGAACAUUGCCAGUUCAUCGACCACCUAUUCAAUAUAUAUCUUUAUCCAUCAUUCUAAAUUUCAUUAGUAAUCCACCAUGGCAGCAGCCAUUGUUGUGAAAUACAAUGUUCGUUAUGUCAUUUUUCUUUAUUUAAUGUAAUAAUUUUUUAAAUAUUUUCAUAUUCACGUUACUAUGACUUAUGAAAUAACUAUUUUGAAGGCAAGAAGAUGGGGUUAAAUGGGCUAAGAUUAUUUUAUUCUUGGUGUCUGAAAAGAAGAUUGCCUUUUUUGUUGAAUUAACGGAGUAAUUGACAGUAAGUGGUUAGAAGGACAUUGGCAAUGAAAUGUGGAAAAUAAGGGUGAAAAUACCAAAAAAUAAAUAUAGUGAUGUUUUGCACAAUAAUAUUGAAAGGUAGCGACGUUUUAUGUUAAUUAUCCAUAUAAACAUAUAUGUAUUAAUAUUAAGGGUGUGUUUGAUUGCAAGCAUAAUAUUUACAUAAAAAGAAAAUAAAAUCUAGGCAAUUCAAUUGUCUAGAACUUAUUUGUAUGAAAAUUAUUAAUUAAAUAUGUUUGAUUAAUUUAGUUCUCAACCUUGAAAAUAUUAUAUUUGUCCAGUUUUUAUUAAUGGAUAUAAGAGAGAGAGAGAGAGAGAGAGAGAAUUACCUAAGUAACAAAAAUAACCCCCUCCCUAAAGAAAAUUUUAUCCUUGUUUUUGAAAAAAAUAUGAUCACAUGAUCAAAAGUUGAAUAUCCCAUAAAAAAAUUGUCAAUCAAACACCCCAAAAGUAGGAUUUUGGACAAAAAAUAACAUUCUUCAUGAAAAAUAAUGCCAAUCAACACACUCUAAUAUGUUAAAAUGUACUGAAUGUUCAAGUCCCUAACUACUCUAUAUCAAUUAACUUUUUAUAAUUUGGAAUUGACACCUCCGUCGGGCCUAUGAUGAGAUAUGACUUUUACGUUAGCAUUUGAUAAAUCUUCUCAUAAUUUUCAUCGCCCCCGUAUAACAAGGCAUUAAGUAAAAGGAAUGUAUGAAACGUAUGAAAAAUAAAUUUAUCAAAAUGAAUCGAAAACAAAUGCAAAGGAAUUUCUUCUAGUGGAUUUAUAUACAAUAUCAAAGGUUGGAUGAAUAUCACUUGACACAAGAUAUGUUUUUGAUAGAAGUAAGCGGUCUUCAAAAGCAACUAUAUUAUGGUUGAACAGGGUUGCAUGAAUUUCUUUUUCUUUGCACUGAUUAGACAAUGAAUACAAGCAAAAGAAUUAUAAACUAAACAAACAAUUUGUAUAAUUAUUCCUCUAAAUGAUAAGCAUACCUAAGUAUGUUAAGGAGCCAUUCUCUAUUGUCCUCGAAUUUAUCUUUUUCCUGAGUAUUAGCUUUAUUGUCUUGUUAAUACCCUUUAGAAAGAUAUAAGGAAUCAGUUUAUAUUUAUUUUCUAUCUUCUACAUGCAAUUAAAAGAAUAAAUGCAAGAAGAGUUUCGAGAAAUGAAACAAGUGUACGAAGAGAGUAGGGAUGGAGCCAAAUGUUUUGUAUUGUAGGGGGUCAAAAGUCAAAAUACAAUUUUUUUUAAAACAAUAUAUCAUUAAUGAAAAAUCAAUACACUGUUACAUUUAUAGACUACAUGUUUUCGUACUCUGAAAAAUAUCGUAUAAUUACAUCACUAUCAAUAUUGUCGAGUAUAUUGUUCUCAAUAUAUAUAAUCCAAAUUAUCAAUUAACCAUUGAUCUCCCAUUCUCCCAUCCAAUUAUGCAGUCAAUUCUUGACUAUUUUCAUGGCAAAAAAUAUUAUCUCUAUCGUAAUAGAAAGAACUAGAAAAACUAACGUUAAUGUUACAAGCCUGUAGACUAAUGGAUACACCUCAUUUUUUUUGUCACAACCAACUUUCCUACAAGAUCAUUAAGGCCUUGUAGCCCCCCGAAGCAUAUUCUAGUAGUGUAAAGGACAAGAGUGAGGUGUACUCAAUCUUGCUGACAGCCGCAGUGUGAGGAUUCGAUUUCUGAAACAUGGAUUGGGACUCUUUGUGAGCACCAGUGUACAGACAGCUCUUAUUCCCUAACCUACUGGAGUACAUCCCGUGAUUAACCUCUCUCACGAUAUUCUAGGGGCGAGGCGGUGGGGGACACUUAAAGUUGGGGUUCAACCUUUUUUUCAUUUAGGCCUUGUAACUCUUCAAAUUCUUCAUGAAUAUGUAUAUCAAUAAUAUAUGUCUGAAGUUGCUCUUCAAGUGCCAAGAUCUUUAUUAGUUUAAAAUCUUUGAGAUAGUACAUAUACAAUUGAAUUAACUUGUAAUUGUCGAAAGCUGAAAAUGAAUUAUCUAGACAUAAGCUGUAACAUCUCAAAAAUUUUUAAAAUAAAAAUUUAUUUAUUUUAUAUAUUAUAUUUUAUUAAUUUGACAGUUGAGGGACUAAGAUGAAAAUAUACUAAAUUCUUAUACUUGUUGGGUCAAAUAGUUGGAUUUUGAUUGAACAAGAAUUAAUAUAUCACUAUUAGAUUCUUUUGUAGGUCGUGAUUUAUUAGAAGUCUUCAAAUCGAGAAAAAGUUAUUUGGAUAAGUUCAAACUAUGAUAGAAUCAAUAAAAGGAUUAAGCUGUAAAUGUAAUAGUAAUUAAAUUUUAUCCUCCCUUUCAUUAGAAUUUUCAGCCAUCAGGAUAUGUAUUACUAUAUAAUUUAUCAAUUGUUAUCCAACACUAAAUCAAAUAAACUGACUUAUCUGUGCGUAUAGAGUUGGACAAUCCCAAAUUAGUUAGAAGACCCCAAUCCAAUAUGAUUCCUCAAUUAGUUUAGUUUAAGGUGCAAAUUAAAGUCUUAGAUAUGAUUAGGCACAAGCUUUAAUGUUUAAAGUCUUCCUAUCAGCUUUUUGAUUUGAUAAUAGAUAAUUAAGGAUUACUUUUGCUAAAAUAAUAUAAGAGUUUGAAAUGUUUUGGUAUCCCACUUACCUUCACACUCCUAUUAUUUUAUAUAUCUUCACGUGUGCAUGAAACGGGAUAGCUACCGAAAUAGGAUUAAAUCAAACUAAUUUCAUUGUGGGUACAACUUAGUGUGAAUGAUGGAAUCAUUACAAAUAGUAUGCACUCGGCCCAUCCGCGUAUUUUUUUGUUUUCUGCCCUCACCUAUAUAUAGCUCUUACUGGGUGUUUUCAAUAAAUAAAAAGAAAAAGUCAUUCCAAAUACCCACGCCCAAGUUCCAUAGCUUUUGGUCCGCUAUCCCGGUCAUGAUUAUUACUUACUCUUAUAAUUUUUUACAGGUUAGUUCGGGUCGAUUGGAUUGUGGUAAAUUAGUGACGCGGACUGCCAAGUGAAUCGAAUAAAGAAAAAAAAAAGGAAAUAAACAAGUAGUUUGCUAUUAUGUUAUUUUUAUUUAUUUUUUUCAUUGUUAGCUUUAAUUGUUCAAAAAGACCCACUUGUUUUAUUAGUAAUUUGAUUAUACUUAAAUCUUUAGAAACUUAGAUCUCGUGUUUUAAUUUAUGUUUGGUUGAAAAUAAAGAAUUUAUUUUAUUUGUGUCGUUCCACAUCUAUUAAAAGGAAAAAUUGAGCUUUUCGUAACGCUCCUAUGUUUAUGGAAAUUUGGGGCGCUACAGUAUGGUAUCAAAGCACAAUUUGACUUUCCUAUAGACUUGUUUUUGAAAAAAGAAAAAAAUAUUCUGGAACAAUUCACGUGAACAGUAAAGAUAUUUUUUUUUUAAAAAGAUUGACCAGUGUCAUGUGAAUAGUAACAGUACAGUUACUGUUCACGUGAACAGUAAAGAUAUAAAAAAAAUUCUGAUUUUUACAUGACAUGGCAAAGAGUUCUAGAAUUUUAAAUGUGAUGAGAUAUACUUUGAAUAUGGCAAUUUUGUUAUAGAUUUUUGUCUAAUUUUGUAGUAGUUUGGAAAUUACUAUUCAUAUCAAUAUCCAUUUAUUUUUAUGCAUUUGUUUCAUUAUUUUGAAGAAUAAAUGAUUGUUUAAAUUGAUUUCGAGUAAUAGUAGUUUAGAAUUUAAAUUGUUAUGGUUUCAUGCCUAUGGUUUAAAUUUCACAUAUGAUAAAUUUUUAUACAUUUUAACUUUAGCCUUUGGGGAUGUUUUAAAAAUGGACCUUUGAAAAAUUGAUAUUUUAAGAAAUUUCACGUUAGACUUAUUAUUUGAGUUUUGUUGAUUUGCGUAGUUGCAAAAUUGAAGAGUUUUGUCAAAAAGAUCUAAACUGUCUAAGAAGAGCUUAGAAUUUAAGCGAUCCGUCUAUGACCCCCUCUUCAUCUGGGAGCCUUUUAAUUGCACAUUAUUCAAAUUGACAAAGCGAAAAACAAUAUUUCGAACAAAAAAACGUAAUAAUUAUAAUUAAAGAGAUUUAAAAAAAUGUAGGAUAAUCCUUUUUUUUUUUGGUAUUAAACAAAUAAUGUUAUAAGAAUACUUGGCACGUUAUGCUCUCUACUUGACCACUCUCCAGUUGAUCUCAAGUAUGAAAUGUAAUGACAUUUUUUAGCAUGAUGCAUAUUACUUCAUGUUAUGAAAUGUAUAAGCAUGUUCACCUCACAUAAUUUAUUUGUAAUUUUUUUUUUCAUAUUUACUAGAAUAUCAUUUAUGCAUUGAGAAUAAAAUAAUAUUGAUAACGCAAGAUUAAGCACAAUUUAGAUUAUACUUGUCACAUGAUUAGGAUGACUAGAAAUAGCCCAGCAUACCUCCAGAGGGCUGAAAUGACCAUUGAGAACUACAUAAUUUAUGAAAUAAGAUGGGAGCAAACUUUUGUUGAACAUGUUGAAAAUUUCCUUUCUAAGUGGGAGCGAGCAAGAUCAUUCAGAUAUAAUGAGGGGACAGUCCUCUCGAUAUACCACCUUAUAAGCAUUAUGAGAUUUCAAUGGAGAGACGUGGCUUACUUCAUGAGGGAUAUAGAUUAUGGAUUAUAUUUGGAAGAAGAUUGGGAUAAGGUUGAUACUGUGAGGAUAUCAUAAAUUUAUGGAAUCACAGACAACAAGCGCAGAAGCCCAAACCCGAACCAGAUCCAAAGAAGGACCCGGAGGAGGACCUAGAGGAGGAGAUCGAACCAGAGUCAGAAGACCCUGAGCAAGAAAUCCAACUACAAAAUUUCAUUGAUUUGGUUACAGAUUCUGAGCUAGAGUCAUGCAUUACUUCGGAUUAUGAGACGCCAUAAAAAGAAGAUUUUUAGGACUCACAGGGAAUAGAAACAAGUGUUAUUUAUUUACUUAGGAAAAGUUUACUUGUUUAUUUAUUUAUUUGAUUUUUUUGAAGAACAAAUUACUAUAUGUAAAGAUUUGGAAAUUUAUAAUUUUCUAAAGUUCUUCAUUAUUACAAAGAUUAUUAAAAAUAUUAUGUUGUUUUAUCAAAUAUUCCUAAAUUUAAAUUUUAUUUGUAUUAAGAAAAUGUAGAGACAACAACAAAACCAAGCUACGAUCAUCAGGGAUUUGCUAAGGACGGUACAAGAUUUGGGUAGACAACAAGCACAAGUUGGUCCCCAUGGUGCAAAUGCUAACAACACUAACUCAAUUGUGGAACAGUUCGAUCGCUACAAACCCCCAACCUUCGAUGGCAAGGCAAACUCACUAGCAGUCGAAGAAUGGAUAAGAGGAAUGGAGCGAAUCUUCAAACAUCUAUCUUGCACCAAUAAUCAAAAGGUGUUAUAUGCAAAAUUCAUGUUGGUUCACGUUGCUGGUUACUGGUGGGAGUUAGCAUCGCGUACUAGAAUAGAAGCACAACAACUUGCUCUGAUUUGGACACAAUUUAAAGAUGAAGUGAUGGAAAAAUACUUCCCACAAGCUUUGAGAGAUCAAAAGGAGACAGAAUUCCUUCAACUUAAAUAGGGAAAAGUGAAGUUUGAGGAUUAUGAGAGAAAAUUUGAACAACUCUUAAGGUAUACACUACACCUAGUGGACAUAGAAGCAAAGAAAGUAAGGAGGUUCGAAUUGGGAUUGCGUUCUAAGAUUGGUAGAAUACUGGCAUCCCACCAAUUCAUCACCUAUAGCCGGGUAUUGCAAACUGCCCAGGCAAUCUCAAAUUGGUUGGAGAUUGACCAAACUUCUCAACAAGGGGCCAAGUAGUCGGGAAAGAGAAAAUGGAAUGGGUCCAAUGAAGAAAAGAGAGCAGGAUAGAACAAGAAAGUUAACAUUGGAUCAAAUUUUGGACGAGUCGGUUCACCCUGUCCAAAGUGCAAAAGGAUGCAUAGUGGGGAAUGUCUAUUCGAGAAAAAUGUGUGCUAUCGAUGUGGCAAAACAUGUCACAUUUUCAAAAAUUGUAAAGAAGACCCCUUGAAGAAGAAUGAUGAGCAAGAAAAGAAGGGAAUGCCCGAUUUUUGCUUUAGCCUAGGAACGGACAAUAGAGGACCCAAACGUAGGUAAUUUCGAGAACGAAAUUUUUUUUUUAGAAAGGGAGAUUGUAACAUCUCAAAAAAAUUUUAAAUAAAAAUUUAUUUGUUCUAUAUAUUAUAUUUUAUUAAUUUGACAGUUGAUGGACUAAGAUGAAAAUAUAUUAAAUUCUUAUACUCGUUGGGUCAAAUAGUUGGAUUUUGAUUGAACAAGAUUUAAUAUAUCAAUAUUUGACUCUUUUGUUGGUCGUGAUUUAUUAGAAGUCUUCGAAUCGAGAAAAAGUUAUUUGGAUAAAUUCAAACUAUGAUAGAAUCAAUAAAAGGAUUAAGCUGUAAACGAAAUAGCAAUUAAAUUUUAUCCUCCCUUCAAUUAGAAUUUUCAGCCAUCAGGAUAUGUAUUACUAUAUAAUUUAUCAAUUGUUAUCCAACACUAAAUCAAAUAAAUUGACUUAUCUGUGCAUAUAGAUUUGACCAAUCCCAAAUUAGUUAGAAGACCGCAAUCCAAUAUGAUUCCUCAGUUAGUUUAGUUUAAGGUGCAAAUUAAAGUCUUAAGCAUAAUUAGGCACAAGCUUUAAUGGUUAAAGCCAUCCCAUCAGCUUUUUUGAUUUGAUAAUAGAUAAUAAAGGAUUACUUUUGCUGAAAUCAUAUAAGAGUUUGAAAAGUUUUGGUGUCACACUUACCUUCACACUCCUAUUAUUUUAUAUAUCUUCACAUGUGCAUGCAACAGGAUCGCUACCGAAAUAAGAUUGAAUCAAAUUAAUUCCAUUGUGGGUACAACUGAUCUAUUACUCUGCCCUCACCUAUAGAUUGCUCACAAAUUCCAAGCACAUACAUACAGAAACUUCGGAAAGUCAUACUUUUACUUAAAGAAAAUAAAUAGGCAAGACAGAGAGAAAGAAGCAUAGAAGAAAAAUGGGGGGGUUUUCACACUCAUUAUUUCACACUCUUUCGCAACUUUUAAAAAAACAAGGUAAUAUACUUUAUGUGCAAGUGUUUUGUGUUUCUUUAUGCCUUUAUAUUCAAUUAAAUAUACAUGGAUUGUAUUUUUUUUUUAAUUAAAAAGCGAGACCUUUUGUAACCCAUGACCUCCCUAAUAUCCAAACCCAAAACUCAAACCCAUAACCAGCAAUCCACCGUCGUUCUAACUUCGACCAUUCUUCUCACCGACGACUGCAAUACCGCGUCAAACGAAAACCCUAACUCAUCCGGCCCUACUCUACACAUACAGCCACACCUUAAGGCGGUGGCCCUAGAUGGAAACCCUAGCAUCACCGCUCAAGUUGAUGCUAGAAUUAGAGAUGCGACCACCUGGGAUGGAGUAACGCCACCAGUCGAUGGCUACUUUGGUAGACGGACCCAAAUGGAUCAAUCUGGGAUGCAAACCCGGAUCACACAAAAUUCGAGCACCAUUCAGGCAGACGCGUCUGAUCGGAGCACAGUGCAGCCAAUUCCGAGUCAGGAUGUAGGUUGGGGAGGGACACGCGCCGUCGGAGUGACGCGUCUGCCGACACGUGUCACCUACACGUCGACACUGGAAAGACAGAACCUUCGCCAGAACAUUUCCAGACCAGCCAUGAUGCCUACAAUACCAUCCAAUGUACCAUUUACUCACAGUCAAGGGAGAAAGUUCGCGGAAGCACACGAUUUUAUAUUCAAUCAUUGGUUUCAAGUGGAGGCAAAUGAGUUUCAAGUUUCUGUUAAUAAUCCCGGCACUGUUAGGAUGACAGAGUGGGGUUCGAGGAUCUCGAAUGCAAUAUGUAUGGGAAGGUUUGGCGCGCUCUGGAUGGUGAAUAUGGUGGAUAAAUUGAGAGUGACAAGUAGGCGAGAUGACUUUGUCUCAAGAUUUAAUGAGUCAUCAAGAGCUUUUUUGGCACAACGUUGCGUGAACAAUCGUGGUAGAUACUUGAUGAUAGCGCACAGUAUGGGGAUAGGUGUCAAAAGGGUGUGGUGAUGGUGCCAGAAGGUGUUAAUGGUAAAGGAUGAGCUUCAAUCUCGCGAGUGUUUCAAGCUAUAGUUGACUCAUUUGUAGUUGGAGACAAGGCCAAACGUCAAACGGUGAACGUAGGAUGUCGACAAGGGAUAACAUAUGCUGAAGUUAUGGCAAAUGUACAUGCCACGCAGAAUGUUGAUCGAAGGGUGCUAAUGUGAAAGGAAAAGGCAGUUGCUGUGAGUGAUAAUGAAGGCAUUUGUAUGACGCAGAAACCUAAGGAAACACAUAUAGAAGGAUCUUAUGAUGGUAUACUGAAUUGUGAUGAAAUAAGGGCUCGUGUCUAGGCGUCGAAAGAAGAAUUGGAUGAAUUAUCUAGGCUUGUGGGAAGUGGAUUUGCAGCAGAAUCCAAGAUUCUCUUUUAUCCUAAGUGUGGGGAGGGCAUGGAAGCAGAAAGCUUGGCUCUUAAGGAGCUAUCACCAGAUGUAGACCCUACUAAAGAUAGGGAUGGCAACGGUUUGGUUCGGGGUCGGUUCGUCCAAAACCAUCACCGAACCACCAAUUUUUUUGUCAUACCAUAACUGCACCAUAACCACAAAAGUCGGUUCGGUUCGGGUCGUUUAUAACCACGAAAAUAAAUUAUUUUUAAUUGGUCCAUCCGUCGAAUUAAAAUGAAAACAAAAGCAUGAUACUAAGUUAAUGUAGCAAACAACAUCCCAAAUGAAAAUGAAAAAAAUAUCCCAAUUCUCAAACACAAAAUCCAAAUUUAACAAACAAUAUUCAAUAACUCAAAAAGCUCCAACCUCAAUUCAUAUUCAAUCUUCAUUCUUCUACACAACUCUUACUGGCAUCCGUCAAAACUCAAAGUUGAUUCCUAUAUAGUAUAUAAGAAAUGUAAGUAGAGUAAUAAAUCAAUAAUCCAUAAUGUUCUUAACUAAAUAUUUAAACAAAAAAAUGUACCUCUUCGUCAACAUCCUCAUCAUCAAACUUUGCACAAGCUCCGGAAUAUGAUGAAGAAGCAGAAUUUUCUACACACAAAAGAGGAAAAAAUUAGCAAAAAGAAAGUGCAUAAAUAACAAACAUAAAACAAUAAAUCCUACCAUGAAUAUCAGACCAAAGCCAAUCUCGAGCACACAUUAAAGCUUCUAAAGUCUUCAGGUGAAGCCUAUUUCUAUGUGGGCUCACAAAUCUACCACUUGUACUAAAUGCUGACUCGGAUGCAACAGUAGAUACUGGAAUGGCUAAUAAAUCUCUUGCAACCUUCUGUAAAGUCGGAUAUUUUAUUGAAUUUACUUUCCACCAUGUCAAUAGAUCAAAACCGUCCACCCUAGGCAAUACUGGCUCAUCUAGAAAAAUAUCGAACUCUGUUUUUACAUGAUCAGCAGUAACAGAAAGACUAACAAAUGUAUCAAAACCAGCCAUGCGAGAAUAUUUUCCACUAGUAGUAGACGACUCUGAUUGUGAAGAUGAUGGAAACAAAGAUGUAUUUUCUAUCAAACGAUGUGGUCUCUUGUACUCUUUGAGCAACUUAUGAUCAAAUGCUCUAACCUUUUCAACCUCUUCCUGAGCUUCAUCUCCAAAAAUCAAAGGAAAAUAGUAUUCAACUAGUUUCAUCUUGUAUCUAGGAUCCAAUAUAGUUGCAACAGCUUGAAUUUCAUGCAUGCCACUCCAAUAUUUAUCAAACUUUUUCUUCAUGCUUGACGCCAUCCAUUUGACUUCAUCGCAAGAUGAUGUGCUCCAAUCACGGAUUGCCAACUUUAUAUCACAAAUAUUGGGAAAGUACAAAUUGGCAGUAGGAUAUUUUGUUCCUGAAAAUAAUUCAGUCGCUUCAUAAAAUAUCUCCAACUUAUCACAAAUCUCUGUAGCCAAUUCCCAAUCACUCUCACUCGGUACACUUCUGUAAUGAGGCUCUCUUUGCCUUAGUCGAGGAAAAAGUUCUUUGUAAAGCAAAGCAGUAUGAAUCAUUAGAUACGUGGAGUUCCAUCGAGUCUUGCAAUCUAAUAUUAACUUUUUUCCACAAGGGAUUUUCAUUUGUCGUGCAACUGCCUCAAAUGUUUCAACUCUUUUUGGUGUUGCUGACCAAUAUGAAACACUAUCGCGAAUUCUUUCAACACUCGGGCUAAUGACAUCCAAACCAUCCUUUACUAUCAGGUUCAAUAUGUGUGCACAACACCGCAAGUGGAAAAAUUCACCAUUCAACAAUAAAGAACCAAGAGAAAGCUUAUCUAACAUAAUGUUAAUCAUAGCGUCAUUCGUGGUGCAAUUAUCAACAGUCAAUGUAGACAAUUUCUGAUCAAUAUUCCAAUCAAAUAGACAAUCCAUUAACACAGUAGACAAUGACUCAGCAGUGUGGGGACAAGGGACAUAUAUAAAUCUGUAUGGAUAUGAAAAAAAGUUCGUAAGAUAACUUAAAAUUUCAGAAAAUACGAUAGUAGCUUAAAGUCUAUUUUAUAAAACUAUUGUACCUCAAAAUUCGGCUCUGAAGCCUCCAAGAAUCAUCUAUGUAAUGUGCAGUGAUAGCUAUAAAUCCCUUCUUUUGAUUGGAUGUCCACAUAUCAGUGGUGACUGCUAUUCUACUAUUAGUCCUCUUUAACAAGCCCAUUACUUUUGUUCUCUCAUAAUCAUAAAUUUUCAAGAUAUCAACCUUGAUGGUAUUACGAGAAACAACUUUAAAUAAUGGUUGAAUUGUAUUACAAAACUUUCUAAACCCAGUAUGCUCAACAAUUGAAAGAGGAUAUUCGUGUAGGAUGAUCAUAUUUGCAAGUUCUGUCCUACCUUUCUCUUGAUCAAAAUUAAAUGCUCCCAUUGCAAUCCUACCACCAGGUUCUUUAAACUGAUUCAAAAACAUCUGUUUGACAUCCUUCUGACCUCGAAGAGGACAUCUAUUUAAAUGAGCAUGUAAAUGACUUGUCCCAUUUUUCGACUCACCCCCUAACUGUUUGUUGCAUUGUCUGCAAAUUGCUUUGGACACAUUAUUAAUUCUCUGUAGCUUAAAAUGCUGCCACACUGAAGAGGUCAAUUUUCUUUUUCUACUUUCCUCAGUCAUCUCCUCAUCAUCACCUAAAUCUAUAUGAAUAGGAUUUGCAUUUACCUCACUUGGACUUUGUGAAGUAACUGGUAUACUUGUUGAUGUAUCUCCAACUUGAAUUGAAGCAGAAGCACUUCCAAUUGAAGCGGGGGGAGUAGGAACGGAAGAUUCUGACCCUGGCAAGACAUCCAAUUUCAAAAAAAAAAUAAAAUCAACAAACUCAAAAACUUAGGCAUUCAUUAAUUUCAUUAGGUGAAAAAUUUACAAAAGUGGAAUGCUAAACGAUAGAGAAAUAACUUACUCCAAUUUACAAUAAAACUUAUCAUUCAAGGAAAUUUACAAUAAAACUUACUCCAACUCAAACAGAAAUAACUAAAGUGGAAUGCUAAACGAUAGAGAAAUAAAAAAAAAAAGAUGUAGUUUAUUUGUUGCACCCCACUUUAGGGAUAUGAUGGAGUAUAAAUUAUCAUUAGUUGAUUACUAAGGAAUUGUCAAUUACCUCCUAAUACAUGGUUUCCUGACCUUUAUAACCAAUAUGAAUAAUCUUAAAAACUUAUGUCUCAAGGACGAGAAAUCAUGUACUCUCUCCAUUGUUCAUUCCAGUGCUGAAGAACUAUAAUAGAUUUUUUGCCAUGCCCACAGUAGGCAAGGUCGAUUACUAUGGCAAUAUGCCACGGCCAAAGACUAUUUAUCAGGGCUACUGACCCUUGGCCAUGGGUUACGACUGUGCCUAAACCGAGUUAAAUUUAAUGCCCAAGUUACAGAAAUUCUUCUCAAAAUCAGCAGAAGUACAGAGAGAAUCUAAGUUAGAUGGGCCGAGCAUGAACAUAACCAGCAGCAGCUUGUGAUUAUAGCAGUAAUUUAUAUUAACUACUUAGAAAACAAAGCCUGACUUCUUUCAAUCAUUUCAUCAAACACUUUCUUUGCAAAACUCAUUUUCCCCAAUGUCCCAUAAUACUAAUGCAGUGAAUUAAAUCCAUACUUCAACAUGGGCGUGCACUUCAGUUCCUUCAAAUACAGAAAAACUCAAGCCACAACACCAACAUUUCGCAAGAGUAUUUCCCUGAUUUUGGUCUUACAAAACACCGAAAGCAGAAGAAGAUGAUUCUGUAUUUCAGUUACCUCAAAUAGUGGUAAGAUUGUAGGAGCAGUGAAGCUCGUAGCUGUGUGCGUUUUUGUAGUAGGGUGAACCGGUGAUGUCGUGAAGAUAACUGGCUGGAGGCGAUGAGGCAUCAGGCGUGGAGCUGUGGUUGCCGGCUGCGUGAGUUCGUGGUCUGUGUCUAUGAGUGUGAUUUCAUUUCACUGAUUUGUGAAGUAAAGAGUAGGGUUUACGUCUCGACUCAUAUACCCGAUUUUAUUAUUCUAUAUAUCUAUAAUUUCUAUUACUAGUUUACUAUAAUAGUAUAAUACUAUGGGUUAUGGUAACUGGGCUGUGGGCAGUUGGGCCGGACGAUUGGGUAUAGUAAAUGUAUUGGGCAGAAUUUUAUUUUGGGCUUGAUAUAAAUAGUGAAAAGUCCAAUAACCAAUUGCUCAAUUAUUAUUAUUAUUAUUUUUUUUUAACGGGUAAUCGGUUCGGUUUCUGGACAAGGGCGUAAAUACCAUACCCGCCCCAUUGCACCAUCGGUUCGAUUUUUUUCACCCUAUUCGGUUCGGUUAACCACGGUUUUCGGUUUUGACAGUUCGAAUUGUCAUCCCUAACUAAAGAUAAGGGGGAUAAUGACUCAAGGGUCGAAGCAGAUAAAGAGAUGGGACGUUGGUCUAACGUAGGGGAGCUGAAUAUGGUGAAUUUGGAGUCGGAGACAUUAGGUAUGACGGACAUGACGCCAGCUGACGGAUUAUUAUCAGAAGUGAAAGAGACAGGGCAUACCUUAGUCGACAGUCGAGCUUUGACUGAACUGAAAGAGCAUGAGGAGACAUGUUUAAACACCUUUGUUCGGAACACAUAUAAUAGAAGGCAUUUGAAGCCCCUAAAAGAAAAGAAAUUAGAGAUUGACAAAGCUCUAGUGUUGUGGGCAGAUGGUGCCAAGAAUAGAGGAACUGACGGUGAUAUCAAGCAAAUGGAGGAAGUAGAGGGAUACCCGUAUAACUUCUUGGAAUAUCAUCAUGCAGAGGAAACAAUGGAGGUGUAUACGAUUGAAGGUCCCCCACCUUCAAAUUGGGUUCUUUAAAAAAUUCAGAAUUUCAACAAGUUGGUUGGUGUGUCCUACGAUGGUUAUGAAAGUAGAUUGUUACAAUUAUUCGUGGAGUUGGAGGCUAGUAGGGGACGGGGGAUGAGUAUACCAAGCAGUAAAAAAGAAGAAAAUGUGAUCGUGAACUUAAGCAGCUUGAAUGGUCGAUAAAUUAUGGUGACAAGGGUGCUGAGUCAAAGAAAGGAUUGUUUGGAAGAGAUGACAAAGCAUUAAGAUGAUGGCAAAAAAAUUAGCUGGAACGUAAAGGGGUUUAAUGUAACGGAGAAAAGAUUAAAGAUUCGAAAUCUGCUAAGGGGAUUAAGGGCGGACUUAUUCUGUUUACAAGAAACUAAGUUGGAAUUCAUCUCGAGGGCUAUUGUGAGCAGUUUAUAGGGGGACAACAUGUUAGGUAUCAAUAUAAGGGAUCAUUAGGGGCCUCAGGAGGUGUGUUAGUCAUGUGGGACACGAGAACUCUUGAUAUGAAGGAGGUUAGUGAAGGACUAUUUUUUUUUAUCGCUUUCGUUCAAAAAUGUUGGGGAUGGAUUUCAUUGGACGUUUAUAGGAGUUUAUGGGCCUAAUUAUGAUGAGAGUAGAAGUGGAUUGUGGGAUGAAUUGGAGAGGAUGAUGGCUUGGUAGAACAUUCCAACUUGUAUUGGGGGUGACUUUAAUGUGAUUCGAUUUCCUACUGAGAGAUCAAGUGGUAGGAGAUUAACAAAGGCAAUGGAGGAGUUCUCAGAUUUUAUCAGGGAAAAUAUGUUGGUGGACUUGCCUUUGAUUGGAGGAGACUUUACUUGGUCUUCUAAUCAGGAGCAGCCUAUUUCAUCGCGAAUAGAUUGAUUUCUGAUUAGUGGAGAAUGGGAGGAGAAGUACCCAAAUGUUACCUAGAGAAGAUUAGGGAGGGUGUAUUUUGAUCACUUCCCUAUCUUAUGGCUGGGAAUGCGAGGUGUAGUGUAAGAAGACCUUUAAUGUUUGAGAAGAUGUGACUAAAAAUAGAAGGCUUUAGGGAGCGAGUACGGGAUUGGUGGGCAUCUUACAAUUUCAGAGGGUCUCUCAAUUAUGUGUUCGAUCAAAAAUUGAAAGCCUUAAGGAAGGAUAUAAAGAGGUGGAAUGAGGAGGUGGUGGGAGAUGUAAACUAGCGUAAAAACCAAUGUAUGUUAGAUAUAGAAGAGCUAGAUAAGAGUGAGGAAAAUCAAGGAUUGGUAGGGGAUGAAAGGGAUAGACGUGGACAAUUAAGGGAAGAGUUGGAGAGGUUGGUGGAAAUGGAGGAAAUAGCCUUGCGUUAGAAAUCUAGGGUCAAGUGGUUAAAGGAAGGUGAUAAAUGUACCUAGUUUUUCCAUAGAGUUGCCAAUUCUAACAUGCGUAACAAUUCUAUCACCAUGCUGGUUGUAGACGGAGUUACUUAUGAAGAUCCACAAGAUAUUGGGACCCAAAUGGUGAAUUUCUAUCAAAACUUGUAUUGUGAGCAGUUUGAUUGGAGGCCAGAGUUAGAGGGGUUAGAUUUCUCUACUAUUACUGAGGAGGAUGCAAGCUGGUCAGAGAGACCAUUCAGGGAGGAUGAGAUUAGGGAGGUGUUGUUCAGUAUGAAUGAUGAUAAAGCACAAGGCCGAACACAUUCUCAUUCUCAUUUUAUAAGGCUUGUUGGGAAGUGGUACGAUCGGACAUUGUGGAUGUUUUUACUUAUUUCUUUCAGUGUGGCAGGUUCUUGAGAAGUUCUAAUACUACAUUUAUUGUGCUGAUUCCAAAAAAAAUUGGGAGCAUCAGAUAUUAAAGAUUUUCGCCCGAUCAGUUUAGUUAGCAGGGUGUACAAGAUUAUUGUAAAGCUGCUGGCUAACAGAUUAAAGGAGGUGUUGGAAAAGGUGGUGUCUAAAUUUCAGAAUGUCUUCUUCAAAAGGUGUCAAAUAUUGGAUUCUAUACUUAUAGCAAAUGAAUGCAGUUACUCGAGACUGCGUAUAGGGAUUCCAGGGAUUAUGUAAACUUGAUAUUUAGAAAGCCUAUGAUCAUGUAAACUGGGGAUUCCUUUUGUAUAUACUCAGGAGAUGUGGCUUUGGGGACAAGUGGUACCGUUGGAUUCACUUUUGUAUAUCUACGGUCUCGUAUUCGGUUUUGGUAAAUGGCACUUCUGAAGGUUAUUUCCGUAGUAGUAGAGGUUUGAGGCAAGGGGAUCCGUUGUCUCCAUUAUUGUUUGUCAUUGUUAUGGAGGCUUUAAGUAGGAUGAUUGAGAAAGCUGUGGGAGAAAGUCUGUUGAAGAGCUUUAUGAUUAACCGGUUACAAGUAUCUCAUUUGCUAUUUGCAAACGAUACAUUGAUCUUUUAUGAUGCAGAGGCUGAGCAAUUUAGGAACUUGCGUUGUCUGUUACUAUGUUUUGAAGUUGUAUCUGGAUUGAAAAUGAAUUUGGGGAAACUUGAGGCCAUCACAGUUGGGGAUGUCGCUAAUGUGGAGGAGUUAGCAGCCAUAUUGGGUUGUAGGACUGCGCAACUGCCUAUGUCCUAUCUUGGGCUCCCCUUAAGAGCACGGUUUAAAAAUAUACACAUUUGGAAUAGUAUUGUGGAAAUGGUGGAGAGGAGGUUAGUUGGUUGGAAGCGUAUGUAUCUCUCAAAAGGAGGCCGUCUUACACUCAUCAAGUCCACUCUAUCGAAUCUACCCACUUACUUCUUGUAAUUGUUUCCUAUCCCCGUUACCGUGGCAAAAAGAUUAGAGAGGAUUCAAAGGGAGUUUCUAUGGCGAGGUUUAGGGGAGGAGAUGAAACUUCACUUGGUUAACUGGGGCGUAGUGUGUUUUUCCAUAAAAAUGGGGGCCUCGGAUUGAGGAGUCUUGUAUUGUUUAAUAAGGUCUUGCUGGGUAAGUGGUUGUGGUAAUUCAGUGUGGAGAGGGAAAGCUUUUGGAGAGAGAUUAUAGAGGCGAAAUAUAGUGUUCUAGAGGGGUGAUGGUGCUCGACCGAGGAUCAUGGUUCUUAUGGGGUGAGUUUGUGGAGGUAUAUACGACGAGGGUGGAGAGAAUUUCAAGAUAGAUUGACGUAUGAGGUGGGGAAUGACAAUACUAUUAGAUUCUGGGAUGACUGUUGGUGUAUAGAUCGGCCAUUAAGGGCGGAGUAUCCUUCUCUGUAUCAUAUUACUUUGAUGCCGCAGGCUAUGGUGCAUGAAGUCUUACAUGCGCAUAAUGGGAAUCCCAGCUGGAACAUUAUUUUUGGAAGGAGUUUACAGGAUUGGGAAUUGGAUGAUUAUGCACUACUCCUGACUUCUUUAUAUGAGGUGCACGUCAGGGUGGGUGAAAGUGAUCGUAGCAGGUGAAGGUUGGCACGCGAUGGCAUUUUCUCAGUAAGCUCUUAUUUUAGAUCUUUAUUGGAACCUGGGGAGAGUUUAUUCCCAUGGAAGAAGUUAUGGUGUUACUGCCCUCUUGAGUGGUAUUUUUCCUAUGGACAGUUGUGAAGGGACAGGUGUUAACGGUGGAUAACCUCUGAUGAAGGGGUUUCUAUGUUACGGAAUGAUAUAUGUGUCCAAGGAAUGGGAGACGAUUGACCACUUAUUCAUUCAUUGCAACGUUGCUCGCACCCUAUGGAAUGAUAUUUUGGCUUAUCAACACAUGGAUUGGGUGUUUCCAUAGCGUAUGGAGGAUGUUUUGAAGGCAUAGGGGAGAAGAUUUUGUAAUAAAGAUAGCAAGAUUGUUUGGGACCUUAUCCCUGGAUGUAUCAUUUGGUGUAUUUGGAGGGAGAGAAAUAGUCGCUGUUUCGACAAUAAUAUACGGACAACAGAACAGAUUAAAGAAUUAUUAUCUGACACUGUAUAUUUGGUUUAAUGUUGUGGCUAUUACUCGUAUAGACGGGUUGCCUAAUUUCAUGUCAUUUCUGUCUUGUAUUAAUUGAUAAUACACUUCCUGUGUAUUAUCCAUGAUUAAUAAAAUAUUUGAUUACUAAUAAAAAAAAUUACAUGGAUUGUCAGUAGACAUUUUUUUUAAGAGAUAUGAAAUCUUACGAGGUUAUAAGAGAAUUUAAGAUGGGUGUGUUGCUUGGUCAUCGAUAUACUCCAUAAGAUCAGAGUGGUAUGAAAUGCAUAAAUUUAUUGUUAUAUAUUUGUUUAUGGAAAAUGCACGUAUAUUAUUAGGUGUUUUUGAAUACUCACUCUUACAAAUUUUUAUAGAUUAGUUUGGGUCAAUUGGAUUGUGGUGAAUUAGUGACGGGACUGCUAAGUGAAUCGAAUAAAGAAAAAAAGGAAAUAAACAAGUAGUUUGCUGUUAUGUUAUUUUAUUUUAUUUUCAUUAUUAGCUUUAAUUGUUUAAAAAGACCCACUUGUUUUAUUAGUAAUUUGAUUAUGCUUAAAUCUUUAGAAACUCAAAUCUUGUGUUUUAAUUUAUGUUUGGUUGAAAAUAAAGAAUUUAUUUUAUUUGUGUCGUUCCACAUCUAUUAAAAGGAAAAAUUGAGCUUUUCGUAACGUUCAUGAGUUUAUGAAAAUUUGGGGCACUACAUAAGCGUGCAACACAAAGAAGUGAAUCAUUAUUUAUAAUGGAGAAACGAUUAUUUAACUCUUGAAUUUGCAGAUCGAAGAAAUCCACAUGAAAAUGAUGCAGAUUUAUGAUUAAACCUAAGUAUUUCACCUGAAUUAUGCAAAACAAAGUACUCUUCUUCCCUCUCUAGACUCUAGUCUCUAGUCAUUUUGCAAUUAAAUAUUAAUUUUAGUACUAUUCUAAUUACUAGUAUCAAGCAACGGUUAAGAUUUUUUCAAUUAAAUUUAUGCAAGUUAACAAUUAAUAAGUAACAAAUUUGCCCCUAAAAUUGAAAGAACUGGCAGAUUCAAAAUCUAUGGAGAUCUUAACUUCAAAUAAGUCAUUGUGUUGUACUUCAAAAUUUGAACGAUGACCCUAAGGUAUCAAAUUUUACCUUAGAAUCUCAAAUCUCAAAUCCAAAUGAGUUUUAAAAUAAAAACGUGUAAAAUCAAGCAAGAUAGCAAGUAAGUAGUCGAUUUGAUACCUGGACUCGAAAACCACAAAUUUAGCACAAGUAGAGCUAGAGAAGUGAGAAGAUCUAAAUGGCCGUCUCAGACUCUCAACACUGUCGAUUCUUCUAUUUGGGGUUGAAGGCAAAAUAAAAAUACGAAUUGAAAAUGCAGGUCUCUAUGUGAAGGAGUAAAGAGAAAAUUAGCUUGCACAAGUGAAGGAGCAAAAACAAAGUACAAAUGGGCUUGGAAAAAAACGAUGACCCUUUGGAAAAAUUUAUAAAGAUAAGAAGAGUUGUAUA
rnacentral:lncRNA from 1 species